rnacentral:lncRNA from 1 species
GUGGGAGUUGUCUAACCCUCUACCGUUGUCACAGUUUGAGUCACCCCUGCAACGAGAAGAGUCAGAGAGUUGCGAGUAAAUGUUAUUUCCCAAACUCCAUCAAAGUUGCCAGUGGAGGUUAACCCAUAGGAUUUCAGUUUUAUUUCAGUUUCUGUUAGUUUAACUUUUUUCGAAGGGCCAUUUGUAUAAUCUUAUUGAACAUUCCAAUUUACUGUGUAAGGAACGU